GAGCCGGGACCGAGUGAGCCGGCGAGCGACCGCGGUAAAGGUAUCGCGCCAUAGACAGUGACUACCCGAGUCGGGUUUACAUUUUGUUAGUAGCCUACCAUGUAUCUUCUUUUAUAUUUGAAGAUGUUUAUGUAUAAAGCAAAUGAGUGAAAAGAAUGUAAUGUUUCAUUUUGAGUAAAUGUGGUGUAAAAGAAAUGAUGAAAAGACUAUGUAAAGAAUUGCGAGCGAAAGUGUUGGAUGCAAUGUAUAUGAUCAAAUUGAAUCAUAGUACUUAUGUAGUAGUUAGCUUCCUUUCUUUCAACCAUGGCUAUUGC
rnacentral:lncRNA from 1 species